rnacentral:rRNA from 1 species
UCGGAAUUAUUGGGCGUAAAGCGCGUGUAGGCGGUUCGGUAAGGCGGAUGUGAAAUCCCGGGGCUCAACCCCGGGCCGGCAUCCGCGACUGCCGGGCUGGAGUGUGGGAGGGGAGAGCGGAAUUCCUGGUGUAGCGGUGAAAUGCGUAGAUAUCAGGAGGAACACCGGUGGCGAAGGCGGCUCUCUGGACCAUAACUGACGCUGAGACGCGAAAGUCAGGGGAGCAAGCAGG